rnacentral:rRNA from 1 species
UACGAAGGGGGCUAGCGUUGUUCGGAAUUACUGGGCGUAAAGCGCACGUAGGCGGAUACUUAAGUCAGGGGUGAAAUCCCGGGGCUCAACCCCGGAACUGCCUUUGAUACUGGGUAUCUCGAGUCCGGAAGAGGUGAGUGGAAUUCCGAGUGUAGAGGUGAAAUUCGUAGAUAUUCGGAGGAACACCAGUGGCGAAGGCAGCUCACUGGUCCGGUACUGACGCUGAGGUGCGAAAGCGUGGGGAGCAAACAGG